AUAUAAUUGUUGACAAAGUUCCUGAAAAAGAAAUACUUUCGGAACUAGAAGAAACUCGGUCUUACAUUGAAGAAGAUGGAAUUAAUACGCUAGAUAGUGUCACACCAGAUUAUACGCAUGAAAGAGACUCUAACUGUAAUUGUUGUGUUACACCGCUCUUUUCUGACCGAGAAUUGUCUCCAAUUGCAGUAACAAAGAUUAAAAGAUCUUCAUCUCAAACACCUGUAAGCUUAAUCAAUGACAUUCAACAAGAAUGGAGUGAAAAAUCUACAGAAGAAAGAGGUAACAAAAAAGAAGAACGGAUAUGCAAAAAAACAUCAAAGAUUAAUUCAUCGAACUCAUCGAA